CUUAUAAUGAAGCUUUUUUGUUGAUUUUAAGUGGCUAUAUACCUCUCGAACCAUCUGCUAAUCAAGUUUGGGGAGGGGGAAAUAUCAACGUACACCUUUGUGCACCUACUUCAAUAUAAAAGGGGAAACUUUUUCGAAGUACACGGUUCGUGUUUUGUUCGUUUUUCUACACAAAAAUCAAACACACCAUCUGUAUGUCUCAAUAACUCUG